GGGUCACAACAAGCGGCACGCUCACAACAAGCAGCACGCUGACAACUUUGCGCUAAACCUUUCCCUCUCACCGCCACGUCUGCGGCCGCUACAUAGGUCAGGUUUUUAUUGACGGCUUUGGUUCUGCACCAAGCAAGUAGGCCCUUCAGAAGUGGCAGCGAACUGUUGCUGCCAUGAAUUGGACUGGUGAGCAUCGCGCUUUCACUGUGGAAACGUUUAUCAAAACCGAACGUGCACCGCCAGAAGUGAUUCAUUCAUUCAUUUUCUACCACUUAUCCUCACGAGGGUUGCGGGGGU